AAAGCGGAAGCCGAAAAGCUAGAUAGAGUAGGUA
rnacentral:ncRNA from 1 species